AUCGGCUGAUGAUAACUUUGAUAGGGACAUCUGAUGUCUAUGAUUGAUUUAUCAUUUUUUAACUGACUGUU
rfam:Drosophila busckii chromosome 2L sequence.